rnacentral:sRNA from 1 species
GCUGGGCACAAUGGUGCAUGCCUGUAAUCCUUGCAGCUUGGGAGGCUGAGGCAGGAGAAUCGUGAGCUCAAAGCUAGCGCUCAGCAACUUAGCGAGGUACUAAGCAACUCAGUGAGAUCCUGUCUCUA